rnacentral:lncRNA from 1 species
CUUUGCAAGUUUCAAUAGGGAAUGGCACAAGAAUGAAAAUAGAAAUGCCUGAGCUGCCAAAAUGCAAGCCUGGAUCUCAUAGGACACUGCAUUAGGUGCCAAAAGACUCCUCCGGGGAUUGGCUUGCCACGCUCCACAUCCUCACACUCUGCUGGGAUUGCAACUGUCUGCCCGGCCCCAGCUGGUGGCCCUGCACUGGGAAGGAGUCAGACAUUUCCUGAGUGCUAAUAUGUGCUGAGGCCUGCCCUGAUGCAAGGGAUACAGAAAUGAACAAAACAUAGUUCCAGUCUUUUCAGAGCUUUUAAUAGCACAGUUUUUCAUCUGGAUUCCAGAACCCCUAUCUAUACAUGUGGCUUCAAUGGGGAAGAUUGCUCAGUCCUUAUGCCAUCCUCUGGGUCUUGAUAUGUUUGCUUGACUGUACCUUGGCCCACCAGGUCCCUGGGUGUCCUGAAAUGGUCUGUGCGGAAUUGAGACUGUCACAUGGGCCAUUUGAGCAUCACUUUGGCGCUCUUGCAGAUGCAUGGCCUCCAGGUGCAAGGUGGUACAAUCACUUCAUCACUAUCAAAGGCCUCCUGUGUUCCUCCCAGCACUUCUAUGUCAUCUACUACUUAGAGAUCUUGGAAUUCACAGUUGCAUUCUCUGCAUCAUUCUGAUGUGCUAGAUCCAAUGAAGUUGUCAAGCCCAAUUGCCUAGGCCACCUGCCUU